rnacentral:rRNA from 1 species
AAUGAACGCUGGCGGCGUGGAUUAGGCAUGCAAGUCGAACGAGAAGUGGGGCUUCGGUCCCAUGGACAGUGGCGAACUGGUGAGUAUAAGUUGGGUACGUGCCCAGAAGUGGGGGAUAGCCCCGGGAAACCGGGAUUAAUACCGCAUGUGGACGAGAGUCUAAAGCAUUUAUGCGCUUCUGGAUCGGCCCGACCCUCAUUAGCUUGUUGGUGUGGUAAUGGCGCACCAAGGCGACGAUGAGUAGCUGGUUUGAGAGAAUGACCAGCCACACGAGGACUGAGAUACGGCCUCGACUCCUACGGGGGGCAGCAGUCUAGAAGCUUCGGCAAUGGGGGAAACCCUGACCGAGCGACGCCGCGUGAGGGAUUAAGCCCCUUCGGGGUGUAAACCUCUUUCGCGUGGGAAGAAUGCUUUGACGGUGAGUCAGAGUUUGACGGUACCACGAAAAGAAGCACCGGCUAACUCCG